UGAUGAGCUUGACCUGCCAUAUCAAACUUUUGUGGUGCGCAGUGACAUGGGGUGUGGAAGC
rnacentral:tRNA from 1 species